rnacentral:tmRNA from 1 species
GGGGGUGUUCUGGAUUCGACAUGUGUAGUAGCGUGUGAGUUGCACUUAGGGCCUUGCGUCCCUUUAAAACGCACAGUUUAUUAUAACUGCAAAAAAUAAUAAUUCUUACGCAUUAGCUGCCUAAAAACAGUCUAAGCGUGAUCCAGUCUAACUUCGCCCAAGGGUUGGAAAUGGGUCUCAAAUUAAUUGGGCUACGUUUGACUACGCAUUCUGAAUAGUUAAAAAGAGAUUAAUCAGGAUAGCCGCUGUGGCUAGCCGAGUUGUAUGGCGUUCAUGGUGGCGAAAUUAUAAAUAAUACAACUAUGAGUGUAGAAGCUUGCAUAGCAUUACGCUUGGACAGGGGUUCAAUUCCCCUCACCUCCAU